CAGUCGCCGCGGGAAUACGGAGGGGGCUAGCGUUGUUCGGAAUUACUGGGCGUAAAGCGCACGUAGGCGGCUUUGUAAGUUAGAGGUGAAAGCCUGGAGCUCAACUCCAGAAUUGCCUUUAAGACUGCAUCGCUUGAAUCGCGGAGAGGUGAGUGGAAUUCCGAGUGUAGAGGUGAAAUUCGUAGAUAUUCGGAAGAACACCAGUGGCGAAGGCGGCUCACUGGACGCGUAUUGACGCUGAGGUGCGAAAGCGUGGGGAGCAAACAGGAUUAGAUACCCAGUAGUCCCUGUCUCUUAUACA
rnacentral:rRNA from 1 species